rnacentral:tRNA from 1 species
UGCUGUAUAGCUCAGAUGGUAAGAGUAGCUCCCUCAUAAGGAGAAGGUCGAGAGUUCGAGUCUCUCUACAGCAA